rnacentral:rRNA from 1 species
GAUGAACGCUGGCGGCGUGCCUAACACAUGCAAGUCGAACGUGAGAGGGUAGCAAUAUCCUUGAAAGUGGCGAACGGGUGAGUAACACGUAGGUAACCUGCCCUGAAGUGGGGGAUAACAGCUGGAAACGGCUGCUAACACCGCAUAGUGCUUUGAUGAUGGGAGUCAUUGAAGUGAAAACUCUGGUGCUUCAGGAGGGGCCUGCGGCCGAUUAGCUAGUUGGCGGGGUAAACGCCCACCAAGGCGACGAUCGGUAGCUGGUCUGAGAGGACGAUCAGCCACACGGGAACUGAGAAACGGUCCCGACUCCUACGGGGGGCAGCAGUGAGGAAUAUUGGGCAAUGGGCGCAAGCCUGACCCAGCAACGCCGCGUGAAGGACGAAGGCCUUCGGGUUGUAAACUUCUUUUACGGGGGAAGAGGAAGGACGGUACCCCGCGAAUAAGUCACGGCUAACUACGUGCCAGCAGCCGCGGUAAUACGUAGGUGACAAGCGUUAUCCGGAAUUACUGGGCGUAAAGCGCACGCAGGCGGCCUUUUAAGUCUGACGUGAAAUCUCUCGGCUUAACCGGGAGGGGUCGUUGGAGACUGGAGAGCUUGAGGCGAUGAGAGGGGUGUAGAAUUCCCGGUGUAGUGGUGGAAUGCGUAGAUAUCGGGAGGAAUACCAGUGGCGAAAGCGGCACCCUGGCAUUAGCCUGACGCUCAUGUGCGAAAGCGUGGGGAGCGAACGGGAUUAGAUACCCCGGUAGUCCACGCUGUAAACGAUGAAUACUAGGUGUGGGUUGAGUGAAAUCAGUCUGUGCCGAAGCAAACGCGCUAAGUAUUCCGCCUGGGGAGUACGGCCGCAAGGCUA